rnacentral:rRNA from 1 species
AUUGAACGCUGGCGGCGGGCUUAACACAUGCAAGUCGAGCGAGCGGCGGACGGGUGAGUAGUGUCUGGGAAACUGCCUGAUGGAGGGGGAUAACUACUGGAAACGGUAGCUAAUACCGCAUACCAUCAGAGGUGCCCAGAUGGGAUUAGAGAGUAGGUGGGGUAAUGGCUCACCUAGGCGACGAUCCCUAGCUGGGCUGAGAGGAUGACCAGCCACACUGGAACUGCGACACGGUCCAGACUCCUACGGAAGGCAGCAGUGGGGAAUAUUGCACAAUGGGCGCAAGCCUGAUGCAGCCAUGCCGCGUGUGUGAAGAAGGCCUUCGGGUUGUAAAGCCUUUUCAUCGAGGAGGCGGUACCUGCAGAAUAAGCACCGGCUAACUACGUGCCAGCAGCCGCGGUAAUAC